rnacentral:rRNA from 1 species
GAUGAACGCUGGCGGCGUGCCUAAUACAUGCAAGUCGAGCGAACAGACGAGGAGCUUGCUCCUCUGACGUUAGCGGCGGACGGGUGAGUAACACGUGGAUAACCUACCUAUAAGACUGGGAUAACUUCGGGAAACCGGAGCUAAUACCGGAUAAUAUAUUGAACCGCAUGGUUCAAUAGUGAAAGACGGUUUUGCUGUCACUUAUAGAUGGAUCCGCGCCGCAUUAGCUAGUUGGUAAGGUAACGGCCUACCAAGGCAACGAUGCGUAGCCGACCUGAGAGGGUGAUCGGCCACACUGGAACUGAGACUCGGUCCAGACUCCUACGGGAGGCAGCAGUAGGGAAUCUUCCGCAAUGGGCGAAAGCCUGACGGAGCAACGCCGCGUGAGUGAUGAAGGUCUUCGGAUCGUAAAACUCUGUUAUUAGGGAAGAACAAAUGUGUAAGUAACUAUGCACGUCUUGACGGUACCUAAUCAGAAAGCCACGGCUAACUACGUG